UGUCCAUGAUGCCGGCAUCUCCUAAACAACUCCUUAAAUCUCUCCCAUGCUUCAUAAAAUAGCUCACCAUCUAUUUGCAUAAAUGAAGUAAUAUCAUUACUUAGAAA